CUACGGGUCGCUCCAGUGAGGAAUAUUGCACAAUGGGGGGAACCCUGAUGCAGCAACGCCGCGUGGAGGAUGACGCAUUUCGGUGUGUAAACUCCUUUUAUAUGUCAAGAAAAUGACGGUAGCAUAUGAAUAAGCACCGGCUAACUCCGUGCCAGCAGCCGCGGUAAUACGGAGGGUGCAAGCGUUACUCGGAAUCACUGGGCGUAAAGGACGCGUAGGCGGGUUGGAAAGUCAGGUGUGAAAUCCUACAGCUUAACUGUAGAACUACACUUGAAACUUCUAAUCUAGAGUAUGGGAGGGGGGGAUGGAAUUAGUGGUGUAGGGGUAAAAUCCGUAGAUAUCACGAGGAAUACCUAAAGCGAAGGCGAUCUCCUGGAACAUUACUGACGCUAAGGCGUGAAAGCGUGGGGAGCAAACAGGAUUAGAUACCCUCGUAGUC
rnacentral:rRNA from 1 species